rnacentral:lncRNA from 1 species
GCCGACCUUCCCCCACACGCUCGGGUCCGCGUCCGCGCCUGUGCGUGCCCAUAAAUAUUGCGUUAGGAGGAGGAAGUAACGUCAUCCACCAUGGAACCAAGGCAACGUAGGUUGAGGUAAGAUUACCGAGGCGGCACCUCUGCUGCAUGCCCCACUGCAUGCUCGACCGUAUGCCCCGCAUGCCACCCAUACGAGAUUGCCGCCAUCAUACAUCUGCUCCAUUGAAAGCAACUAUAUGAUAACUAUGUAAGGAAUAUGAACUAUACCGAGCCCUAGUAUUUUUAGAGCUGGGAAACAGGCUGUGGACCCGGUUGAGGAUAGAUUCGUUGUCCGUCAGAAAAUAGAGUUAAGUUGUAUUGAUUACAAGAAUGCAAAAUGCAGUUGGUGUGAAGCAAAUGAGGCGCUGGUUAUCAAAUACCCCCGCAGUAAGUGCUCCUGUAGUACUACCUGAAUGCCUGAUCUUUAGAUGCUCUAGCGGUUCAUCAUCUACGAUUGAAAACAUCAAAGGAUCGAAGGUCCGACUUCCGAGCUUUGGACCUUCUGUUGAAAUUUCAGGAAAAGAGAACGCGCUGUUCGUUGGCAGUUGGUUGCACUUGCACCUAUACUUUAUGACUAUAAUUAUCACCUUUACGCGGUAGCAGCUGUAGAUGUUUG